GUCGACAAGGCCUUCUUCUCAGCCAAGAUUCAUCCAACACAAGAAAGAAGCAUUUUGGUUCUACAGGUUUUUGUCUAUUGUAUAUGAUCAUAUAAUAAAUCCAGGUCAUUGGACUGAAGACAUGAGAGAAGAGGCACUUGAACCUGCUGAUUUGUAUGACCGGAAUAUGCGAGUUGUUGAUGUUGGAGGAGGAACUGGAUUCACUACUCUUGGUAUUGUGAAGCAUGUUGAUGCUAAAAAUGUUACAAUUCUUGAUCAGUCUCCUCAUCAGUUGGCUAAGGCUAAGAAGAAGGAAGCAUUGAAAGAAUGUAAGAUAAUUGAAGGUGAUGCAGAAGAUCUUCCUUUUCCGACUGAUUAUGCCGAUCGAUAUGUUUCUGCUGGAAGGUAUUGUGUGUUCACAAUUUUUUCUUCACAAUAACUAUGCAUCCUCUUAGAAUUUCGGGUUAGGUCUAACUCAACUCUUAUAAAAGUGAUGUGUAACAUGAGGACGGUCUAAUCCAUCACUUAUAAACAUAUUUUCAGGCAUUAUCUCGUCUACGUCUUUCAUUUUUAUUUUUCUUUAAGCAAAAAUAUAUGAAUUGUCUUGGCAUGAAUUUUGUUAGAAUAGCAACCUAGUUUAAAAGUAAAGGAUAUGAAAAAAAACGUAAAUAGAGAGCUGUUGGAACAUGAUGAAUAAUUGGAGGAAACUUGGUAUUGAAGUAAACACAUUGUGUUAGAUUCAUGUAUAGUGUGAAUUGGAAAAAAGACUCUUUAAGUCUCACAUUGCUAAGAUCACACUACUUGGUAGUGUUUAUAUACCACAAAGUGGCAACCAAGGGUGUGCCCUUGGGGUACCCACUUUUGUAAGAAAGGGAGAUCGCACACAAUGUCGAAUAUCACACACGUGCGCCACCGCCAUCCGGCUCGGGACGGGCUGGGCUUAAUUUUUUAAUACUAAGAGAAAGAAAAUUUUGAAAUUUCCUUUUAUGUGUGUCCCUUAAUUCGCACAUGUUAAAUGUGCUUAGACCAAGUCUGAAACAGAUUUUCAAAUACGUGGCCUAUUCUUUUGCCCACGUUUUUUCGUAUCCUCUGAUUCCAGCUCCCUACUUGCCUAUAAAUACCACUUCAUUUCUUCAAUUUGAAACUCACUUCUGUUUCUCUGCAUUCUGAGAAAACUGCUUCUUUCUUACUCUCUAUUUUUUUUUCGAAAAUAUUUUUGUUGUUUCCAUCUUUGAACAGUUGUAACCGUAGAAUUGAUAUUCGCAUAUCAAUUAGAGUGGUUCGAAAUUUCGUACCAUAUUAUUAUGGCCGAUACUACAGUGCAGUAGUUUAUCGGUAUUUAUUUGAAAAACGGCUGUUUUAUCCUGGGGACUUCGCGGUUGAUAUACUACAGUGCACUUCUUCGAGUAGUUCCGCGAAACGUCUUAAAGAAAGCGACCUAAUACGCGACUCAGCCAAUAAUUUGUUUCGUUGCCAAUUUAAAAAAAAAAAAUCGUUUUCUGUUUUUUAAAGUCAGUAAACCAGUUUUUAACUAGAGCACACAAUGUUGAUUACGAUUGUGUCUGCCACUCUUAACUUCAAUAUUUUAGUGGAAAAUGCUAACUUAAUCUUAAACUUCAUCGUUAAGUCAAAAAUGCCAAAGUAUAAAAUUAAUUUUUAAUAUUGGCUGUGUAACAUAAUUUUUUUUAAUGGAAAAUUGUUAGUAUAUUAGUUAUUGUGUUAAUUGUUUUUAUACUUUGUCGGGACUUAACCCUAAACUUCCAACCCUUUUAAUUCUUAGCUCAACUAUUUCAACUUAUUGAGCUACUCAUCUCACCCCGACUUUGUCUAACAUGUAAUACCACAUUAGGUAGUGUAUGUGCACAAACUUUAUUUGAGCCUUGUCCAUAAAAAAAAAAAUUAUAUGAGCAUUAGAUUUUAAAGUCUCGUUAAAUUUUAGGGUGUUUUUUAGUACUGAAAAUUUCUCCAUUUCUCUCGCUUCCCUCACCCAUAUCAUGAAGAAUAUGUUGGACCUAGGGGAGCCUCACCGGGUUGGAUCAGUAUAUUGGGCUUUGAACAAUUAUAUAAGUGACCUUGACACAACACGUUAAUUCAAAAUCUUAAGGCUACUUGUAUGUCACUCAAUCUCAACUCUUCCAACUAAUGUGAGACUUAACUCAUACUUGAUAGAUCUCAACAUCACCACUCAAGUGUUAGUCUCUCCGUGUCUACGAUCCAUCUUUACUCCCUUAUUGUUCUCCCAUCAACGGGCUCUGAUAUUACCGUUGGGCCGUGAGGGGGAGCGUCAUUAGGUUGGAUCAGCACAUUGGGCAUUGAACAACCACACAAGUGACUUGGGCACCACACUUUCACUGAAAACCUUAAGGCAGCAUUAUGUUUAUGAGUCAUCUCACUUAUAUGUUGCUCAAUCUCAAAUCUUCUAGCCAAUGUAGGACUUAACCCACACUUAAUAAAUCUCAACAAAAUACUGUUACAAAUAUAGCUUUACUUUACAAAGAUGGAGGUAGCCGGAAAAUUCAUAGUCAUGGUAGAUAUAAUGGUAGUCUAGUGACGAGAGAGUUUGUGACUAAGAGCAAAAAUCUUAUUUUUCUUUUCGUAGGCGAGCUUUCGGUUAUGGGAAACUUGCUAGAGAGGCGGUGUUUAAAAAGUCAAACUUCUCCAAUCAUAAAGGAGAUGACAAGGAAUACGAAUAUGAUGUUUGUUUUUAAGAUCGACUAUCAUUAUCAUGGUGGCGAGAAAUUGCUUUUGAAUGCGGUGGAGCUCCAACGAGAAUGGUGGUAGUUUGAAUACGAGUUUCGUGUACUAGAUAGAGCUUGACCAAGGGAGAAAAGAGAUGGUAGGGCACGUCUGUUGGUGGUCGGACGGUUGCAAGGAGUGGCCGAGAAGGUGGUGGCGGAGGUGGCACACAGUUUGACUACGUUUUUCGAAGAUAAUGAGUAGAAAACUAGUGUAAUAAAAUCAUAUUAACUUUGAUGAAAAUUUAUUAUCUAAUGAUUACAAAAUGUUGCAUAUGAUGUACAAUAUGGGACCAGGAUUUCAUGUUGUCAACUAUUUACACAGUUCUACGCGGUAAUAAAUUUGGACUGUUGAUUUGAGACCAGACGGUCUAAAUCACUUGUAUAAUAAAACAAUCUCAAUUGUGUAUUCAAAUUGAACGGUUGAGAACAGUAACUACAUGUCACAGCAGGAAAUUCAAAACCCAAUAUAUGUAAGGUUUGUGCAUAGUAGAACUCGCCAUUCGUAUUAAUUAGUAGGUAAUAAUUUAUCUAUAUUUGGUGUGUCGCAUAUUCCGCAACUACUUGGCUGUUCCUCUAAUAAAUUGUACCAAAAAAGAUAAGAUCCAACACACCAUUCUUUUCAUGUGAUAGCAAUGCCUCAUUGGUGAAUGGAACAAGAGAGUCAGAGUCAUGACUUUUGAAGUUCAACUUGGACAGAACCUGUUUGUAGCCUCUAUAAUAUGUAUAGUUUGACCUCGCCCUAGCUUAUCUAUGUUUGGUGGUGUGUCACAUAUUCCAACUCCUUGGUUGUCCCUCUAAUAAAUUCUACCAAAAAAGAUACUCCACUAUCCACUUAUUUAUAUAGUAGCAUAAUCCAUAAUAUAACUUGCCAUUUUCCAAUUCUGUUACAAAUUCCAUACCUUCCAUGUCUCAGCCAAGAUGCAUCCAACACAAGAGAGAAGCAUUUUGGUUCUACAGGUUUUUGUCUAUUGUAUAUGAUAACAUGCUAAAUUUUGGUCCCUGGACUGAAGAUAUGAGAGAAGAGGCACUUGAACCUGUUGAUUUGUAUGACCGGAAUAUGCGAGUUGUUGAUGUUGGAGGAGGAACUGGAUUCUCUACUCUUGGUAUUGUUAAGCAUGUUGAUGCUAAAAAUGUUACCAUUAUUGAUCAGUCUCCUCAUCAGUUGGCUAAGGCUAAGAAG
rnacentral:lncRNA from 1 species